rnacentral:rRNA from 1 species
GUAAAAAGCCUCUAGUUGAUAGAAUAAUGUAGAUAAGGGAAGUUGGUAAAAUAGAUCUAUAAUUUUAGGAAAAGGAUUAGCUCUAAGGGUUGGGUAUGUUGGGCCUUAGGGAGAAGCCUCUAGUGUAGAAGGGUACUAGCUAUAAGGUGGGUGCCUUUUAGUACUGGGGUGCGGGCACCCUUGGUAGGCUUCAGCCGUCUAGCGUACGUUUAACAACUAACUUAGAACUAGUAUAGAUAAGGGGAAUCUAACUAUCUAAUUAAAAUAUAGUAUUAUAAUGGCUAGAAAGUAGUAUUAACGCAAUGUGAUUUCUACCUAGUGCUCUAAAUGUCAAAGCGAAGAGAUUCGACCAAGUGUAGGUAAAUGGUAGGAGUAACUAUGACUCUCUUAAGGUAGCUAAAUGCCUCAUCAUCUAAUUAGUAAUGCAUAUAAAUAGAUUAAUGAGAUUCCUACUAUCUCUAUCUACUAUCUAGUGAAACUAUAGCUAAGGGAACAGGCUUAGCUAAAUUAGUAGGGAAAGAAGACCCUAUUGAGCUUGACUCUAGUUUGACAUUAUGAAAAGACAUAGGGGGUAUAGAAUAGGUAGGAGCUUUAGUACUAGUAAAAUACUACUACUCUUAUUAUUUUUUUACUUAUUUAAUGAAGUAGAGCUAGGCCUUACUACUUAACUUCUAGCGUUAAGGUCCUUUAUAGGCUAAUCUAGGUUGAAGACAUUGUUAGGUAGGGAGUUUAGCUAGGGUAGUAUAUCUAUUAAACUAUAACGUAGGUAUCUUAAGGGGGACUCAUAGAGAAUAGAAAUCUCUAGUAGAGUAAAAGGGCAAAAGUCCCUUUGAUUUUGAUUUUUAGUAUGAAUACAAACUAUGAAAGUAUAGCCUAUUGAUCCUUUAGUCUCUCAAAAUUUGAGGCUAGAGGUGCUAGAAAAGUUACUAUAGGGAUAACUAGCUUGUAGUAGCUAAGUAUUCAUAGUAACAUUGCUUUUUGAUCUUUUAAUAUCAGCUCUUCCUAUUAUACUAAAGUAGAAUUUGGUAAGCAUUAGAUUGUUCACCUACUAAUAGGGAACGUGAGCUAGGUUUAGACUAUUAUAAGAUAGGUUAGUUUUACCCUACUAAUGACCUUGCCCUAAUAGUAAUACUACUUAGUAUGAGAGGAACUGUAGUUUUAGAUAAUUGGUUUUUGUAGCUAUCUAACUAGGCAUUGCUGUGAAGCUACUAUCUACUAGAUUAUAGCUGAAUGCCUCUAAGUUAGAAUCUAUGCUAGAAUAGGGUAAUUUCUACCUAUACUAGUUAGAUAUGAAUAGGCCUUUGGCCUAGAACCUUACUAGGCUAGCGUUGU